rnacentral:lncRNA from 1 species
CGUGGGACGUUCUGGGUCUUUAAGUGCUGCGGGUUCUAGCAGAGCGGUCUUUUCGCUACAGUGACCGUGAGUGUUGUCUGUGUAUGUGAGCGACGAGGGCCGAUAAAGAUCUAGAUUUUUUUUUUUUUUUUUUUAACCACUUUACCCAGGUGUUUUUAGAGAAAUUUAGCUAAAUGGAGGAGUCCGGGCGAGAGUUGCGAUUCAGUGUUCCAUAUUUUUCUAGGGCCGCGUUGUGUAGAAUGCUGCGAGCUGCGACUCACAUACCGCAUGUUUCUCGGCGGAGCCACCGCCGCAGGAGUGUGAGGUUUGCGGAGAGCAGCUUUCUGUUUCUGCACCCUCCAGGAGGAGUGCACAGACCUGAAAAGCUGGAUGUCGGACUCAGUGCAGAAUAUUGAAGAUGGGAGCAGCAUCUCAUGAAGUCGGGUUGCAGACUGUCAGGAUACCAACAGCGUUGUAUCACUGGCCCCUUAAGUCACCUGGAGGGCUGCUGGACAAAGGCUGCAGUGGCAAAUUUUUGCUCAAAACCUGUUAGAGAACUGGCUUUGGAUCAGGUUUUGGGAUCAGUGCUGGAGUGCAGUUUGAGAGCUGGCAGCAGCACAGCCCAGCAGGAGGUGAAGGAUCUGAAGCUGCUGUUGAUUCUGUUUGAGAAUCUAAAUGGCUGGAAUGUUUGGUGUGGAAGAAACAAGCUGCUCACCUGUGUCAGAGCCCUUCUCAACAGAACUGAUGUCUGGCCAUUUUUUUAGGACAGCGCGGCACACUGAGUCUUUGAUUAAUCUACCCAACAGAGGAGCUUGUGUGUUUUUGGACAAGUUUAUGUUUACAAAUGUUGUUAUUAAAUACUAUUUUAAUAAAGAACAUUCUUUUGUAUUAGAAAUGUAUAUUUGGGAAAAAGUUAAAUUUGACUAUGAUAAGGUAUGAACUUCAUUGAAGUUUGUGAACUUCUGGUCAGUCUUGUCAUUUUAACUGUGGGCCUCAAAGUCAGAAACUCUGAGGCACUUAAAGCAUUUAUACUUGAUUUCAGUGUCUGCUUCUAUUAUCCUUUGCAUGUAAGUGAGGUGGCUCUGUGCAGUACUUGGCACCAGGUAAGGACUUG